AAAGCCUUAACUUAAUUAAAGUGUUUACUUUGCAUGUAGGGAAUGCAGGUUAGAAUCCUGUAGGUUUUA
rnacentral:tRNA from 1 species